GGGAAAGUUGAGAAAAGGAAAAGAUAGGCAUUGAGCUAAUGUGAUGAAGGAAAAUGCAUGAAAGGAAAAAAAAGGGAAGAAAAGAUACAACAGAUAAGCAUGAAAGGAAAAGCUCAAUACAAAAGAAGAAAAGGGAAGGUUGGGAAUGAGAGAGAUUGGUAAAAAGAGAGUUUGUGCUUGAACCAUGAUUGUGUGAAUAGCUCUCUAAACUCAAGGAUUUCUUGAUCUAGAAAAACCAAUUUUUCUUGUUAACCCAAUCACAUUAUAAGCCUUGAAAAGUCCUUGUGAUGACAUCUGUAUGUGGUGAUAUUUGAUUGUGGUAAAUGAAGGGCAAUUUUGUGCUAUGUGACAUGUAGAUAGUAAGAGGGAAGAAGUGA
rnacentral:lncRNA from 1 species